rnacentral:rRNA from 1 species
AUUGACCGCUGGCGGCAGGCCUAACACAUGCAAGUCGAACGAGUGGCGGACGGGUGAGUAAUGUCUGGGAAACUGCCUGAUGGAGGGGGAUAACUACUGUAAACGGUAGCUAAUACCGCAUACCAUCGGAUGUGCCCAGAUGGGAUUAGCUAGUAGGUGGGGUAACGGCGCACCUAGGCGACGAUCCCUAGCUGGUCUGCGAGGAUGACCAGCCACACUGGAACGGAGACACGGUCCAUACUCCUACGGGAGGCAGCAGGGGGGAAUAUUGCACAAUGGGCGCAAGCCUGAUGCAGCCAUGCAGCGUGUAUGAAGAAGGCCUUCGGGUUGUAAAGUACUGUCAGCGGGGAGGCGUUACCCGCAGAAGAAGCACCGGCUAACUCCGUGCCAGCAGCCGCGGUAAUUC